AAGAUAAAAGAAAAAGAAAGAAAAAAAGGAAGAAAAGAAAAAAAGAAACAAAUGAAAGAAGGGGAGAGAAAAUGAGGAUAUUUACCGGGAUGCAUGAUCGGGACGGCUAUCGGGAUGGGACAAGAUGGGACAGUGGAGCGUCCAGUUCCAUGGAGAUACUGUGACACCUUCGUCCCACAGGAUUUAAAACCUUAUUAAAGUAUAUAGAAAGGAACACACUUCCUACAUACUAUGUCAUUCUGGUCCUGGUUGAUGCAGUACCUUAGGUUUAUAUUGUGUUAACUCUCUGAGUUGAGAGAAAACUCAGAAAUUAGGCUCCAGUUGUUACCCAGGGAUGAGUUGACUCAGGUUGUUGCUAUGAAUGUUCAGAACAUUUCAUGCACCACUUUCAACACUUCUUAUAUGUGUUAGUUGUCAUAUUCACAUGCUUUCUCAAGAAGCUUAAAGGGAAGGAAUCAAAGAAUAUGAAUACAAACCAUAUCUGCUCACUCUUUCCUGCAUCUUCUUGCUGGUUUUAUUAUUAUUAUUAUUAUUUUGCUGGAAUCCCUGCUGCCAAGUGGGUCCAAUGAACACCAUGAUCUUAUGUUUUCCUUGUUCAAGAGGACGAUUCAUUCUCUCUCUCUCUCUC
rnacentral:lncRNA from 1 species